AACAAACGCUGGCGGCGUGUCUUAAGCAUGCAAGUUGAGCGGCAAGGAGGAGAGAUCCUCCCUAGAGCGGCGGACUGGUGAGUAACGCGUGGGUAAUCUAUCGUAGGCAUGGGGAUAGUCACUAGAAAUAGUGGGUGAUACCGAAUACGUUCCAUGAGGGGAGUACUUAUGGAAGAAAGGGUGCUAUGGCACUGGCCUUAGGUGAGCUCGCGUCCCAUUAGCUAGUUGGUGAGGUAAAGGCCCACCAAGGCGAUGAUGGGUAGCCGGCCUGAGAGGGUGUACGGCCACACUGGGACUGAGAUACGGCCCAGACUCCUACGGGAGGCAGCAGCUAAGAAUAUUCCGCAAUGGACGAAAGUCUGACGGAGCGACGCCGCGUGGAUGAAGAAGGCCGAAAGGUUGUAAAGUUCUUUUGCUAGGGGAGAAUAAGUGAGGGAGGGAAUGCCCUCAUGAUGACAAGGACUAGCGAAUAAGCCCCGGCAACUACGUGCC
rnacentral:rRNA from 1 species